UGUGGGACUUUACUUCCCUGACCAGGGGUUGAACCUGCGUCGCCUGCAUGGUAAGGCAGAUUCUUUACCACUGGACCACCAGGGAAAUACCCCCCUUUAAUCUUUAAAUCAAGAGAGGAUUAGGGGCACAGCACUGUGCUAUCUAAUGAAUUAUUCCUACAGAUGUAGAAAAGAUAAAUAUUUAUUGAUUUAAUCAGAUGAGUGAAAGUUUAGUGAGCAUUCCCUGACAUAUUGACAUACUUGGGCCAGCUGAUUUUCUAUCCUUUAGCAAAUCUCACUUGGGUUCUAUUGGCGUAAUUAAGUGGUGUUGAUAAACCAUCUCUAUUUUCUUUCCCCCUGAAGCCUGACACCCAGUGGUCAGGCUUUGAAACCAGAACACUUCCUUGCCAGGAUUAACUAAGAAAAGAGGAGGCUAUUCUUAGCCUCCUGCCUCACACUUUGAUCUUGAGGGUGCAAGAGGUGGGUGAAAUACUGAGCCAGGGGCCAGACCCAGAGGGCCACACAAUGCUUGAGAUGCAUUUAAGCUAUCCCUUCACAGGGGACUUGCCUUGAGGAGAUGGGGAUUUAAGCCGCUUCCUUCCUCAGUGUCCUUGUUAUUUGACUGCUGAGCCUUUGUUCAUUCCCUCCUCUUUUGGAGAGGGAUAAAGUGAAGUCUCAUCUUUCACCCAGGGGUCAGACACUGAAGUCAGACCUUAAGGCAAAAAUCAUUAUAUAGUCCAAAUUAAAUCUCCCCAAGAAGGUGCUGUAUUACAGAUGCAUGCUGAGCUAUUUCAAGAAAAAAAAAAAUGGCCAGUUUUUCCUUCAGUAUUGAAAGAUCACAGUUUUUAAGCUGAGAAUUGAUAUAGUUGGCCUUCAUUCAGAGGCCAUUUACUAGAGAAUAUCAAUGAAAAUGAGAAUCCCACUCAUUACCGAAGACGUACUUCAAGAGGCAGACAUGUCUUGAGGAAAGAGCAAGUUCAACGCUUCGUAAGCCGGAGGCACUUUCACUCAGAAUAGUGGGCAGAGUUGCCCAAACUGUUUACAUUGGGUUUUCUCUGUUUUUGUUCGUGUUUGCUGACUCCUCAUAAUUGAAUUAUCACAUAUAAUUAAUUAAUUGCUACUUUGGAUAUUUUGAGAAUUGGGCAAUCAUUGUGACAAAUGCUUUGUAAACUGUAAGAUCCCUGUGGUGGUCAUCAGUGUGAUUCUCCAAAUAUUUCUGGUUCCAGGCAGGUGGUAGUUUUUUUCAUCUCCCUUGAAGUUAGGUAUGGCCACGUGACUCGCUCACUUUAGGCCAGUGUAGAAGUGAGACUGUAAGCUUUAAGAGCAUAGUCAGUGUGUGAUUCCCAUUGACCGAUCUCCCUCUGCCAUGGCCCUGUCCCAGAGUGAGGCCACACAAAGCAAAGUUCCCAGCUGACCCCAGAUGGAAAUGAGCAAGAAAUAAACCCACGUUUGUAGAAGCCACUGGGGUAUGGGGACUCUUUGUUGCUACAAUAUAUUUAGCUCAUCCUGACUCAGGUAACAUACAACACUUACAGGUCUUAUGUGAGAUUGUGCUAUUUGAUGCACAAGCCUAAUCCAAUCAACAAGGCUUAUGGUGAAGGUACAGUUGUGAUUGUAUUUAAAACAAACUUCGGAACUCUUAACAGAAAAAGCUAGCUCCAGGAUCCUCCAAGGAUAUGUUUGAGUCAUGCCUUAUGUCCAAUAACCAAGCAUGAGCAUUCAUGGGAAAGGUGGAGAACUGAUAUUUGGUGAGGCCCCUCUCUCUUCCUGCCGCUGUGCUAGACUGAUUUGCGCAGAUGAACACAUUCUGUCCUAACAGCAACACCGGGAAGAACCCUGGGUAUUAUUCCUACUGCUCAAUAUAGAAAGUAAGGCUGAGAGAUACUAAAUGGCCCAGGUCACACAGCUAGCUAAUAAGCAGGUGAGAAAAUUGUUUUUGAGAGCGCAGAAUGCAACUUUAAUAUACAGUGACAAUCUCAGCUUAAACCUAGAAAUUGGCGAGGAGUACCUACUUGCUGAAGUCUAGUUGCACAGCUUAAGGAUUAAUUACUCUUAUUCUGGAUUUAAAAGGGAAAAUGUAAGUCUCUCCACUGCACUUUGACCUUCCUCACUGACUGACCUUGCAAAAAGUCACCCUGAUGUAAACUUCUACAUAACAAAACCCUAAGGGUCACCCUUGCAAUUUGGGACUCCUGUAUGGGUGGGAAUGUUGGCUGGACUCUCUUUACCAGAGCUCUCUCUUAUUGCUUGAUUCAUUUUCCUCAUUUAUAUUACUGUAUCUUUCCUUAAAAAAGAAAAACAACAACAAAACCCAGCAACCUAAAAUGAUGCUAUCAGAAUGCUAUACCUUUCAAAUUCAGAUUUUUAAAAAAUUGCAAAGCCAAAUAUAUUCAUUUGUAUUUAUAUAAAGUAGUGUGAAUAACUAAGAGCCAGGUUUAAUUGCUUGAGAAUAUUGCCACGUACCACACAUUAUGAAGCUUUUUUAUGUUAGUUUGUUAUAUAGCUGUAUUAAGGCACCUUGGUGCAUUUCUGUGCAUGGACGUGGAAUGGGCACCAUGAGCAGCUGGUCAGUUUUUAAUAGGGGGCUGCCUUGUAAUACGGUUAAGCCAGUGGUUCUCAACCCAGCCCCACCUUAGACCAAUGAAAUCAAAAUCUCUAAGAUUGGGCCCACACAUCAGGUUUGUUUUUUUUUUUCCCCCCAAAACUCCCCAUUUGGUUCUAAUGUGAAUUCAGGGUUUAGAUACCUUGGGUUAAAAUCAUGGGCUCUUCUUGGUCAGGCAGUCUUGGAUUCAAAUCCUGAGUUGACAGAGGACGUUACUUUAAGCUUUGCCAUCUAUAAAAUGAGGAUAGUUUAGUAUUUACUUCACACGUUUGUAUUAAGUAUAAAAUUAUAUAGUAUAUGUAAAAGGGCAUAGUCCCUUCCCAGGAUCAAGUACCCAGUAGAUUAUUACUGUGAUUAAUUUUUAAAUGACUGGGAACUUUGGGUCAGGUUGAAGCAGGAAAGAAGGUCUCCAUUUGCAAAGAAGCAAACCCAACUUGACAGUUUGAGAAGCGACUUGCCCAAGUUCUCACGACUAGGCCUAGGGUCCUGUUCCCUCCUCCAAAGCUGAUUUUCUUAUCUUUAUGCCAUCUCCCCUUUAAAUUUCAGCUUCUUAGUUACACCAGGUAGCCUUCCCUUCAAUUACCGACAGCAAGGAGCUGGACGCCUUUAGGAAGGGAAUGUGCACAGCAGGCUGCUCAGCCCCUCGCAGGGGUCCCAGCAUUAUGACCGUUGGCUGUACACCAGUAGGCUGAAUAAUGACCCACCCCCACAAGUCAUUCAUGUCCUAAUCCCUGGAACCUGUGAAUAGAUUACCUUACGUUCCAAUAGGGACUUGGCAGAUGUGAUUAAUUUAAGGAUUUUGAGAAGAGCACGUUAUCCUGGAUUAUUUGGUGGGUCCACUAUAAUCAUAAGGGUCCUUAUAAGAAGGAGGCAGGACGCUCACAGAGUAGGAGAUUUGAUGACUGAGGCAGAGAGAGUUUGGACUGAUUUGAGGAAAGAGCCAAAGAAUGCAGGUGGCUUCUGGAAGCUAGAGGAGUCAGAGAAACAGGUUCUCCCUUAGAGCCUACAGAAGGAAUACAGAUCUGUUGACACCUUGAUGUUAGCCUGCAAGACCCAUUUUGGACUUCUGACUUCUAGAAUUGUAAACUAAUAAAUGUGUUUUAUUUUACUAAUUUUGUAGUAAUUUGUUACAGCAGCAAUAGGAAGCUAAUGCAACCUGCAUCACAUGCUUUAUGUAAAAGCUAUAAACCAGUAUGGUAAUGUC